GCUGUGCAUGAUGACAACUGGCUCCCUCUACUGAGCUGAGAUGAGGAAACUGCCUUGUCACCACCUGAUACAGC
rnacentral:snoRNA from 1 species